AUAAGGAAUCUACCAACCACUUUGCUGGUUUUGCAACAGAGCUGAGGAAGGCAAACACAGCCUCCAAAGCAGCAUUUCAUGGGAAAGGACUUAGAUUAAACAAGGACUACCGGUUUUUCACCUGUUCAUUGAUUCUCACUCAUUGGUGAAAAUAAAAAAGAUUGAG